rnacentral:rRNA from 1 species
UUCUGGCUCAGGAUGAACGCUGACAGAAUGCUUAACACAUGCAAGUCUACUUGAUCCUUCGGGUGAAGGUGGCGGACGGGUGAGUAACGCGUAAAGAACUUGCCUUACAGACUGGGACAACAUUUUGGAAACGAAUGCUAAUACCGGAUAUUAUGAUUGGGUCGCAUGAUCUGGUUAUGAAAGCUAUAUGCGCUGUGAGAGAGCUUUGCGUCCCAUUAGUUAGUUGGUGAGGUAACGGCUCACCAAGACGAUGAUGGGUAGCCGGCCUGAGAGGGUGAACGGCCACAAGGGGACUGAGACACGGCCCUUACUCCUACGGGAGGCAGCAGUGGGGAAUAUUGGACAAUGGACCAAAAGUCUGAUCCAGCCAAUUCUGUGUGCACGAUGAAGUUUUUCGGAAUGUAAAGUGCUUUCAGUUGGGAAGAAGUCAGUGACGGUACCAACAGAAGAAGCGACGGCUAAAUACGUGCCAGCCGCCGC